rnacentral:rRNA from 1 species
UACAGAGGGUGCGAGCGUUAAUCGGAAUUACUGGGCGUAAAGCGUGCGCAGGCGGUUAUGCAAGACAGAUGUGAAAUCCCCGGGCUUAACCUGGGAACCGCAUUUGUGACUGCAUAGCUGGAGUACGGCAGAGGGGAUGGAAUUCCGCGUGUAGCAGUGAAAUGCGUAGAUAUGCGGAGGAACACCGAUGGCGAAGGCAGUCCCCUGGGCCUGUACUGACGCUCAUGCACGAAAGCGUGGGGAGCAAACAGG